AUGUCAAAUUUCCCGAAAUCGAAUCCGGAGCCGCGGCAGACGAAGGUCAGUGACCCCCCCGUGGCCGGAGGUCACCGCCGGACCCCAACAGGGUCACCCAGACGGUCACUGACCCUCGUCUGCCGCGGCUCCGGCUUCGAUUUUGGGAAAUUCGCGCUGGGCUGGGUCCGGCAGAGCCCCGGGCAGGGAUUGGAUUACGUGGCACAGAUCGACAGCAGUGGCAGCACCUUCUAUGGACCAUCGGUCAAGGGCCGAGUGACCAUCGCCAGGGACAACGGGCAGAGCUCGGUGACGCUGACCAUGAGUGACCUCAGGGACGGCGAUUCCGGCUCCUAUUUCUGCGCCAAAUCUUACAGUACUGGUGGUGCUGUUUCUGCUGCUAUUGGCCCCGCCCCCACCGUUGUCCCAAAUCUCAGCCCCUCCCCCAGUCCCCUGUCCCCAUUCCUGACCCUCUGUCCCAACCCCGCCCCAGCUCAGCAAAGUGCCCAAAAUGGCCAAAGCCGGGUUUAUCUACCCAAAAUGGCACCGCUCUGCGUGUGCUCGUAUUGA